AGAUGUGGGCUUCACUGAUUCACUUUCAUGAGCUCACGAAUGUCCUGGGAGGACACAGAGAAGACUGGAUAACCACUGCUAACUCCAUAGUGAAUGUAAAAUGAAGAUAUGAUGGGAUCAUAUCAGAUGAAAUUUGUAGGUUAUCUAUCUCCUGCAGUGAAGGAAUGAUAAUGUUCACAUUGAAAGAAAAUGUGUCCAGGUUUGAAGAAUAAAGGAGCUAUCACAUGGGCUGAGGUGUGCUGAGACUUAAAAAUGAAAAACAAAUAUUUCAAAUUGAUCUGAUUUCUGUAUAUUAGUGAGAUUCAACAUUUAAUUUGAUUUUUUUUAAAUAAAUCUGAAUCUGAAAAUCAAUAUUCAAGGUAACAAAAACAUUUAUUUAAAUUAAGAGUCACUUCCUGGUUUUCCUUUUCAAGGUAGAGAAUGAAAGGGAAAAAAUAUUUGCAAACUAAAAAUUUUUUUUCUUUUAUUUUUUUUUUUUUGCAGUGUAUUAUGCUCAUUAUUGUCCCUCUAAUGUUAUUAUAAACCUGUAUGGAACUGACAGCCCUAAAAAGAGGCAUCACAAUCAAUAGGGAAUUUUUUGUAAAAAGAAAAAGUUUUUAUUAAGGCAACAAAAAAAAGUAAAGUUAUUGAAUUUAAAGUUGUAAAUGUACGUCUUUCAAUCUAGAAAACAUAUAACUCUUUUCUUCUAAAUUAACGAUUUUUUUCCUCAUAAAUGGAGGUAUUUUAAAGAGGUAGAUUUACAACUUUUGAAGUCAUGAAUUUACUACUUUAAAACAUGUAAAUUUACAAGAGAAAAGUCAGAAAUUGAGACUUUUAAAGUCAUAAAUAUACAACCUUAUCUCAUAAUUUAACAAUUGCGACUUUUUCUCUCAAAUUUACAAUUUUACAGUCGUAAUUAAAAAAAAAUGCUUCUAAAUGGCCCUAAAACUCCCUCGUAUUGGUAAAACCAGACCAAAAAAAAAAAAAAAAUACAAACCAGGUGUAUAGUAUACUUGAACAAAAACUUCAAGGAUUCACAUAACUGAUCAAUUAAAAGAAAAUCAAUAAAAUUAAAAGGUACGUUUGAAGUGGAAACCUGCCUUAAAUUCUGGUAAUUAGCUGAAAGGUGACCACACGACAAACAGGUAAAAUAGGGAAAGAACACUAUCCUUCAGGUAUCUCUUGAAAGUAGUAAAAUGAUCAGUCCAUGCAGCCAAUCACUUUAACUUACAAAGAAAUCUUAAAAUAAAAUGUCAAAGUAUAGAAAUAGGAGCUCCAAGGAUUUUAAAAGG